rnacentral:tRNA from 1 species
GGGCCCGUAGUCUAGCGGUAGGAUAUCGGCCUUGCAAGCCGGGGAUCCCGGGUUCAAAUCCCGGCGGGUCCA